UUGUUUUUGUUACGAUAGUUUACAUUCAUUACACAUUGUUUUGGUGGUUUUGAGCCCGGGGCCCGAGAGCCCCAAGACGUACACAGUUCACAGGGUGUGUGGAAUAGACACGGCCAGAGGCCAAUCUCUAAUGAUCCUUCCGCAGGUUCACCUACGGAGA
rnacentral:misc_RNA from 1 species